UUCCGGUUGAUCCUGCCGGACCCGACUGCUAUCGGGGUGGCGCUAAGCCAUGGGAGUCGCACAUCCCACCGCCGUGGGGUGUGGCGAACGGCUGAGUAACACGUGGCUAACCUACCCUCGGGACGGGGACAACUCCGGGAAACUGGAGCUUAUCCCCGAUAGGCGGGGAGUCCUGGAACGGUUCUCCGCCCAAAGGGAUGGGAGGGGGUUAUCGCCUUCUAUCCGCCCGAGGAUGGGGCUGCGUCCCAUCAGGUUGUUGGCGGGGUAACGGCCCGCCAAGCCUAUAACGGGUAGGGGCCGUGAGAGCGGGAGCCCCCAGAUGGGCACUGAGACAAGGGCCCAGGCCCUACGGGGCGCACCAGGCGGGAAACCUCCGCAAUGCGGUAACCCGUGACGGGGUCACCCCGAGUGCUCCCCUUAUGGGGAGCUUUUCCCCGCUGCAGGAAGGCGGGGGUAAUAAGUGGGGGGCAAGACUGGUGUCAGCCGCCGCGGUAAUACCAGCCCCACGAGUGGUCGGGACGGUUAUUGGGCCUAAAGCGCCCGUAGCCGGCCCAGCAAGUUCCUGCCUAAAUCACCGGGCUCAACCCGGUGACUGGUGGGAAUACUGCUGGGCUAGGAGGCGGGAGAGGCCGGGGGUACUCCUAGGGUAGGGGCGAAAUCCUAUAAUCCUAGGAGGACCACCAGUGGCGAAGGCGCCCGGCUGGAACGCGCUCGACGGUGAGGGGCGAAAGCUGGGGGAGCAAACCGGAUUAGAUACCCGGGUAGUCCCAGCUGUAAACGAUGCGGACUAAGUGUUUGGACGGAAC
rnacentral:rRNA from 1 species